AAAGUACACACGUUGUACGGAGCAGGGUCCCCAUACAACAGAUAUUGCAUACAAUUAAGUUGCAUGUUAAACUGGACCUACAAUAAAGUGUAGGGCAGCCCAAAGCCUUUACAUACCUAG